GACGAACGCUGGCGGCGUGCCUAACACAUGCAAGUCGAACGGAACUGUUUUGAAAGAUUUCUUCGGAAUGAAUUUGAUUUAGUUUAGUGGCGGACGGGUGAGUAACGCGUGAGUAACCUGCCUUCAAGAGGGGGAUAACAUUCUGAAAAGAAUGCUAAUACCGCAUGAUAUAUCGGAACCACAUGGUUCUGAUAUCAAAGAUUUUAUCGCUUGAAGAUGGACUCGCGUCCGAUUAGUUAGUUGGUGAGGUAACGGCUCACCAAGACCGCGAUCGGUAGCCGGACUGAGAGGUUGAACGGCCACAUUGGGACUGAGACACGGCCCAGACUCCUACGGGAGGCAGCAGUGGGGGAUAUUGCGCAAUGGGGGCAACCCUGACGCAGCAACGCCGCGUGAAGGAUGAAGGUUUUCGGAUUGUAAACUUCUUUUAUUAAGGACGAAAAAUGACGGUACUUAAUGAAUAAGCUCCGG
rnacentral:rRNA from 1 species